rnacentral:tRNA from 1 species
GCUCUAGUGGUUUAGAUUGUAACAUCCUGCUGGGAAAGAAGAGAGUGUGGGUUCGAGUCCCGCCUGGCGCA